rnacentral:tRNA from 1 species
GUUGUCGUGGCAGAGUGGUUAAGGCGAUGGACUAGAAAUCUUUUGGGAUCUUCACGCGCAGGUUCGAAUCCUGCCGACAUCG